GGGCCCGGCUGGCACUGCCCUGCGCCGCCGCCCGUCAGUCCCGGUACCCCGCCAGGAAAUGUCUUCUUCCUGGGAAGACGGCCGCUGUCUGCGGCAGUGGGUGGCAGAGUCUGAAACCAAGUCGCACAAGCCCUGGGAGACAGAAAGCCUUGUGUUUGUCUUGGGGACUGUUCCGUCAGAAUGAGCAGCUUAAAAAAUGUCGCCUGUGAGGUCUCAGCUCGUACAACAAGAAGAUAGCAAUCUGCAAACCAGAAAGUGGGCCCUCACAAGAACUAGAUGAUGAUGGUGUCCUGGCUUCAAACUCCCAGCUUCCAGAACUGUGAGAAAUAAAUUUCUGUUGUUUAUAAGUUA
rnacentral:lncRNA from 1 species